rfam:Listeriaceae bacterium FSL A5-0209 contig000005, whole genome shotgun sequence.
CAAGGUAUAGCUCAGUUUGCGCAGAGUACUCGCCUUGGACGCGAGAGGUCGCAGGUUCGAGUCCGGCUACCCUGA